rnacentral:lncRNA from 13 species
CCUCUUUCUCGUCUCCAGUCAGUUCAGAUGAGAUGUCAGUUAGUUGUUGAUGUUCAGCUCAAGACUCAACAUGAUCAGAACCCUCUUACUCGGUUGGCUCUCAGGUCUCUGUCUCAGUGUUGAGGUUCACCAGACUCCCUCUGCAGUCUUCAGCAGACCUGGAGAGAAUGUUCAACUCUUCUGCCAACAUCAGAAAACAGACUAUAGAGUGAUGUUGUGGUACCAGAAAUCACAAGGAGAAACAGCACUGAAACUCAUUGGAAAUCUGUAUCAUAAGAAUCCAACCAUUGAGAGUUCAUAUGAAAAGCAUUUUAAUAUGAGUGGGGAUUUGGGUGGAGGUGGCCCAAAGAAUGCCUCUCUGAACAUGUUCAACUUGAGACGACCCCAACACAGUGCUGUGUAUUUCUGUGCUGCUAGUUAUGCACAGUACACUGGAAGAGAGGCCUACUUUGGGAAUGGAACCAAACUCACUGUUUUAGGUAAGUUCACUUCAGAUGAAUGACAUUGAUAUAGAUCUGUAUCCCUGGAGAUGUUUGAUUAGUGUCUCUGAUUCAGCUGAACUAAAUGGUUGAUGUGAAAACACUGUGACUUCAACCCAACCAGCGUUCUUUGGCAAUGGAACCAAACUCACUGUUUUAGGUAAAUACUUCCUAAUUGAUUUACUUACUGUACCUGACAAUGUUAUGUUUAUGGAUCUAAUAGUUCAUUUGAACAAUUUGACAAGUCGUAAAAAGCGGUUAUUAUGUUAGAUGACAAAUGCGUAGACAAGUUCAGUAGCUACUGGUUGGCACAUUACUGCUCAGUAUGUCCACACUGUGACAACUAUAAUCCUGCAUUCUUUGGAGCAGGAACCAAACUGACUGUUCUGGGUAAGAGAAUAUUCACCAUGAUGGAACUAAUGGGUCUCUAUGUGUGGUUUAGGGGUUUGGUGAUGUGAGGAGUUAGUUGAUUCUAGAUUCAGUACAUUAGAUUAGUUCAUACUAGUGUUACUCCACUCAAUGCUUUUUGAUGUUAAGCCUGUACACUGUGCCAACUAUGAGGCCUAUUUUGGACAAGGCACCAAAUUAACAGUUCUCGGUAAGUGAUCCCGUACACUAUGUUUGGCGUACGGACAAUGAAUGUGAGUGAGACAACAUGCUCGUGAGAAGAGAUUUGAUAUCGUAGU